rnacentral:tRNA from 1 species
AGCUCAAUAGGAUAGAGCAACGGACUUCUAAUCCGUAGGUUCCGCGUUCGAGUCGCGGC